rnacentral:rRNA from 1 species
AGUGAACGCUGGCGGUAGGCCUAACACAUGCAAGUCGAACGGCAGCACAGUAAGAGCUUGCUCUUACGGGUGGCGAGUGGCGGACGGGUGAGGAAUACAUCGGAAUCUACUUUUUCGUGGGGGAUAACGUAGGGUAACUUACGCUAAUACCGCAUACGACCUACGGGUGAAAGCAGGGGAUCUUCGGACCUUGCGCGAUUGAAUGAGCCGAUGUCGGAUUAGCUAGUUGGCGGGGUAAAGGCCCACCAAGGCGACGAUCCGUAGCUGGUCUGAGAGGAUGAUCAGCCACACUGGAACUGGGAAACGGUCCAGACCCCUACGGGAGGCAGCAGGGGGGAAUAUUGGACAAUGGGCGCAAGCCUGAUCCAGCCAUACCGCGUGGGUGAAGAAGGCCUUCGGGUUGUAAAGCCCUUUUGUUGGGAAAGAAAAGCAGCAGGUUAAAACCCCGCUGUUCUGACGGGACCCAAAGAAUAAGCACCGGCUAACUUCGG